rnacentral:misc_RNA from 1 species
UACCUGAUUUGAGAUCAAACAAUCAAAGAACUGUCUUCACUGAGGAAAGACAUUUGUGAGCUCCAGUGAACCUCCAUCACUGAAGGUUACCAUGGUGGGGAACCACACGUGUAGAUGUUUAUCACACCUGUGAUGCCACCAAAUGCUGGAAAGCUAAUGCAUUUGAGGGGAGCUGACUGUAGGCCAGCAAAACCCCCCAAGUCCAAGCUCAUCGUGGCAAGCCAUGAGAGUUGAGGUGUUCAUGAUACUCAAACAGGCAUGCCCUUCGGAAUAGCCAAAGGGCGCAAGGUGCGUUCAAAGAUUCGAUGAUUCACUGAAUUCUGCAAUUCACAUUACUUAUCGCAUUUCGCUGCGUUCUUCAUCGAUGCGAGAGCCAAGAGAUCCGUUGCUGAAAGUUGUAUUUCAUUGCGUUAAACGCGGCAUACAUUCCAUGAAACUUUAUUACAGUGUGUGUGUAUAAAUACGCAGAACCACAGUAGGAGGACAGAACCCCAAGACCACAGUACUACAGAGAGUGCACAGGUGUGAGUGGAUGUGUAAACAGAGUGUGCACAUGUCCCCAUUUGAGGGCCAGCAACAACUUCAUGUUGACAAUUCGGUAAUGAUCCUUCC